rnacentral:lncRNA from 1 species
AUAAAAAUCAUCCAGCCUCUUCCCUCUGUACUGUUGAAUCUCAUCACAGUAAAUCCACUGAUUCUGCGGGAAGUAGAACUAAAAUCAAGUCCUAACCAUUGGUCACUCAAGAAUUGCUUCUUUGCCAUAUCUGAUGUCUCUGCUGGAGAAAAGCAACCAAGGAGAAAUAAUUAAAGCUUGGGCAAAGAAAGCUCUUCUAGUCUGGAUGAGCAUCAGGUGAGAUAAUGAGCUGGUUUACCUUGAGAAAACCACAAGUAUCUUCUUCAUCCCUAUUGGAGAUGGUCUUCAUUGAGAUCAGGUGUACCUAGGCUACAAGAAUGAAUGCCUAGGUACUGCCUCCAGGUUGGGUAGGAUGACUGAAGGCCAUAUGCUGGGAGUCAAGAGCAGGUGAAGG